GAACCGGUUCCAACGUGGGAUUGUUUUAAAAGUUCUGUUUCCAAUGGAAUCAUUUCUUUAUUGGAAACGCUGAUCAUCAGUUCCAAAUUUAACACCAGCAAGUUUUGGUUUCCAUGGCGAGCGCCGUACUUCCAGGUGCAUGAUGAGUUGCUCUGAGUAAGCGGCGC